rnacentral:miRNA from 14 species
CAGCUAACAUGCAGCUGCUAUC